rnacentral:rRNA from 1 species
AGAACGGUAACAGGAUAGCUUGCUAUCGCUGACGAGUGGCGGACGGGUGAGUAAUACUUAGGGAUCUCGCCUCUGUGUGGGGGAUAACUAUUGGAAACGAUAGCUAAUACCGCAUAAUGUCUACGGACCAAAGCGGGCUUCGGCUCGUGCGCAGAGAGGAACCUAAGCGAGAUUAGCUAGUUGGUGAGGUAAAGGCUCACCAAGGCGACGAUCUCUAGCUGUUCUGAGAGGAAGAUCAGCCACACUGGAACUGAGACACGGUCCAGACUCCUACGGGAGGCAGCAGUGGGGAAUAUUGCACAAUGGGGGAAACCCUGAUGCAGCCAUGCCGCGUGUGUGAAGAAGGCCUUCGGGUUGUAAAGCACUUUCAGUUGUGAGGAAAGUUUAGUAGUUAAUACCUGCUAGAUGUGACGUUAGCAACAGAAGAAGCACCGGCUAACUCCGUGCCAGCAGCCGCGGUAAUACGGAGGGUGCGAGCGUUAAUCGGAAUUACUGGGCGUAAAGCGCACGCAGGCGGUCUGUUAAGCUAGAUGUGAAAGCCCCGCGCUCAACGUGGGAGGGUCAUUUAGAACUGGCAGACUAC